rnacentral:rRNA from 1 species
GAUGAACGCUGGCGGCGUGCCUAAUACAUGCAAGUCGAACGAGUUCUCGUUGAUGAUCGGUGCUUGCACCGAGAUUCAACAUGGAACGAGUGGCGGACGGGUGAGUAACACGUGGGUAACCUGCCCUUAAGUGGGGGAUAACAUUUGGAAACAGAUGCUAAUACCGCAUAGAUCCAAGAACCGCAUGGUUCUUGGCUGAAAGAUGGCGUAAGCUACCGCUUUUGGAUGGACCCGCGGCGUAUUAGCUAGUUGGUGAGGUAAUGGCUCACCAAGGCGAUGAUACGUAGCCGAACUGAGAGGUUGAUCGGCCACAUUGGGACUGAGACACGGCCCAAACUCCUACGGGAGGCAGCAGUAGGGAAUCUUCCACAAUGGACGCAAGUCUGAUGGAGCAACGCCGCGUGAGUGAAGAAGGCUUUCGGGCCGUAGAACUCUGUUGUUGGAGAAGAAUGGUCGGCAGAGUAACUGUUGUCGGCGUGACGGUAUCCAACCAGAAAGCCACGGCUAACUACGUGCCAGCAGCCGCGGUAAUACGUAGGUGGCAAGCGUUAUCCGGAUUUAUUGGGCGUAAAGCGAGCGCAGGCGGUUUUUUAAGUCUGAUGUGAAAGCCCUCGGCUUAACCGAGGAAGCGCAUCGGAAACUGGGAAACUUGAGUGCAGAAGAGGACAGUGGAACUCCAUGUGUAGCGGUGAAAUGCGUAGAUAUAUGGAAGAACACCAGUGGCGAAAGCGGCUGUCUGGUCUGUAACUGACGCUGAGGCUCGAAAGCAUGGGUAGCGAACAGGAUUAGAUACCCUGGUAGUCCAUGCCGUAAACGAUGAAUGCUAGGUGUUGGGAGGGUUUCCGCCCUUCAGUGCCGCAGCUAACGCAUUAAGCAUUCCGCCUGGGGAGUACGACCGCAAGGUUGAAACUCAAAGGAAUUGACGGGGGCCCGCACAAGCGGUGGAGCAUGUGGUUUAAUUCGAAGCAACGCGAAGAACCUUACCAGGUCUUGACAUCUUUUGAUCACCUGAGAGAUCAGGUUUCCCCUUCGGGGGCAAAAUGACAGGUGGUGCAUGGUUGUCGUCAGCUCGUGUCGUGAGAUGUUGGGUUAAGUCCCGCAACGAGCGCAACCCUUAUGACUAGUUGCCAGCAUUUAGUUGGGCACUCUAGUAAGACUGCCGGUGACAAACCGGAGGAAGGUGGGGAUGACGUCAAAUCAUCAUGCCCCUUAUGACCUGGGCUACACACGUGCUACAAUGGAUGGUACAACGAGUUGCGAGACCGCGAGGUCAAGCUAAUCUCUUAAAGCCAUUCUCAGUUCGGACUGUAGGCUGCAACUCGCCUACACGAAGUCGGAAUCGCUAGUAAUCGCGGAUCAGCACGCCGCGGUGAAUACGUUCCCGGGCCUUGUACACACCGCCCGUCACACCAUGAGAGUUUGUAACACCCGAAGCCGGUGGCGUAACCCUUUUAGGGAGCGAGCCGUCUAAGGUGGGACAAAUGAUUAGGGUG